rnacentral:rRNA from 1 species
UAAGGAAUAUUGCGCAAUGGGGGAAACCCUGACGCAGCAACGCCGCGUGGAGGAUGACACUUUUCGGAGCGUAAACUCCUUUUAUCAGGAAAGAAUAAUGACGGUACCUGAUGAAUAAGCACCGGCUAACUCCGUGCCAGCAGCCGCGGUAAUACGGGGGGUGCAAGCGUUACUCGGAAUCACUGGGCGUAAAGGACGCGUAGGCGGAUUAUCAAGUCUUUUGUGAAAUCUAGUGGCUUAACCACUAAACUGCUUAGGAAACUGAUAGUCUAGAGUAGGGGAGAGGUAAAUGGAAUUCUUGGUGUAGGGGUAAAAUCCGUAGAGAUCAAGAAGAAUACCCAUUGCGAAAGCGAUCUGCUGGAACCUAACUGACGCUGAGGCGUGAAAGCGUGGGUAGCAAACAGG